UACAGAGGGGGCGAGCGUUAAUCGGAAUUACUGGGCGUAAAGCGUGCGUAGACGGCUAUCUAAGUCGGGUGUGAAAGCCCCGGGCUCAACCUGGGAAUUGCAUUCGAGACUGAAUAGCUAGGGUACGGUAGAGGGAAGUGGAAUUUCCGGUGUAGCGGUGAAAUGCGUAGAUAUCGGAAGGAACAUCAGUGGCGAAAGCGACUUCCUGGACCAGUACCGACGUUCAGGCACGAAAGCGUGGGGAGCAAACAGG
rnacentral:rRNA from 1 species